UGACAGUGUCCUUGACGAAUCAAAUUGUCAUUUACGGGAUAAUGAUCAUUAUAAGGAUUACGUUGUAUACUUAUGCGACAACAGCCAGUGGUAGUCUCUCAAAGGGCGACGCCGUGCACCCACAAGAACAACGAUGUUGUCUGUAUAAAUAUCAAAGUUCGUAUUAUGCUUCGCUUGUGAAGAUAUAUUCUUAUUUAUUUUUUUAUUAUAUUAUGAACGUUAUCGGCACAGACGUUAUACGCAAUUUCUGACAUAGUGUAGUGGUAUACACUUUAUUAGACUUUUUGUCGUUAACCACCGGAAAUGGACACUACAAACUGUCAGCUUGAGCCACGACUGCCACAAUCAUGGGCAUUUCUGCUGUGUGUCAGUGUCUGGCAGUUAUCGGCGAGCUGCCGGCGUGCCACUGCCUGUCCGACGAUGGUGCAGCGAGAAUGCGCAGACCCCGCAUGCGCAUACUCCAUCAUAAAGCUCCAGCAACUUGUCCAGGAGGCGGCCCAUAAUGCCACGACGACCUCCACCAUCCGGCUGCCCUUUGACCGCGCUCCGCCCGUCGAACCCCUGACCGUGGAACGCCAAGUGGUCCGCAUUGACGCGGGGGAGCCGGCCGUCUUCCACUGCCCAUUGUACAACGUCACCAGCCUGACCCACCUCCCGGACAUGGUGUGGUACCACAACAGCAAGGUGCUGCGCAUGCAACUGACCAAUCAAGCGCCCACAGACUUGGCUGGCGCUCCCUACACCAUGAUGCAAACCGUGCACUCCCUGCGCCCCAUCCCGCACAUGCCCGGUUUAACUAUGGCCACCAUGUCCCUCUCCGUCCGCCACUUCCCUGGAGCGCCACCGGCCAGAUCCGGUGCGCGCAGGGCUGCGGUCCCCUGGACGAGACGCCCACCACGCUACGCGGCCGCUUCUGCACCUACAGCUACCAGAUAUUCCAGUUAGUGGUGCUGCCGACGGCUGGCGAGCUCUUUAUUCACCGGCUGGCCAACGCCACGGUCCAGCGCUUCUCUGACGCCCGUUUUGAGUGCGCGGCCAACACCUGCCUAACCAGCCGGUGGCCUUUAUCUGGCGCUUCAACGGCCACAUCAUCAGCGCCCCGACUGACCAUCCCCUCUCUGCGCUGGCCCGCAGCCGCCUGCUGCGGCGUCAGGAGCAGCCGCAGCUAGUGGCGCAGCGUUUCCCGCUCUUCGGGUCUCUUCCGCGGAGCAGUUCGCCUUCAGCGUCACCGCCAAUAUUUCCACCAACACGGCCAACAGCACGCUGACCAUCAGCCAGGUGGACCUCCACACGUCGGCGCGGGUGGAGUGCUGGGUGCGGCCCAACGCCGACGCCGAUACGUGGCGCGUGCAGACCGCCUAUCUGCACGUCUCCAGGGUCACCAGCGCCGCGUAGAACAUACCCGACGUUUAUUCUGUUGUGACUGCGUUCAGCAAAUAACAGCCAACUCAGAACUGACCCGGAGUCCCGGACCACCGGUUUAUGCGCCACGAAACCGGAACUCCGCAGAUAAUCAGUGGACUGUCGCCGUUUGGAAACAAAAUAACCAUUUGCCGACGACCGGUGUAGAGAAAACCAGAAAAGCAACAUCAACGCUCACAGAUAAUCAAUCCCAUUUCCCUGGGCGCGUUCAUCGCAGAUCCCGGCGGAGAUGGCGCAGCGCCGUCUGCACCCGUUCAUCCGGGGACGCUCCCGCCACCGCCUCGCACACGCCGAGGACGUCCAGCACUUUGGCAUGAUCCCGACUUACUCCUUGACUUCCUGUCCGCCGCCGCCCACCAGCGUCCCGACGGCCACCAUCCAGCGAUACCGCGCCUCAUCCUCCACCACCAACCCCGGGACCUUGCCCAGCUCCGUCGCGGCGAACAGCAGCUGCAGCAUCUCCUCGGCGUUCUUCUGCCGCCCGAGGAGGACAGCGUAGUUCAAGAUAACGCUGGCGCGCGCCGUCUGCACGUUCUUCUCCACACCGGACGUCGAUUCCGCCACGGCGGAGAGCAGCGCCUUCCGCUGAUCCGUCACGAAGGCCAGCCCGGUGGCGCCGGCCACGAAGAGGUUGCAGACGAUGCGCAGGGAUAACUGCUGGUUGGCGCUGGACCGCGGAGAACGGAUCAAUGGGAGGAGGAAGUCCAGGAAGAAGCCGCACCGUUCCGCGCCGCAAAAGUACUCGCUGACGGCCGGUUGGCGGAUGGCUAGGCGCAGCAGGUCCAGGGCGGGGAACAUCACACCUGCGACAGAAAAUUCGCCAACGGAUACGUACCUUCGGGAAGGUCGAGCGUUUUGCCGAGGAAGUUGAGCAGGUCGGCGGAGGGCCGAAUGGGCGACACGUCCUUCUGCAUGUACGGCAUCAACUGGGCGCCCGCGUCCUCCGGCCACUCCAUGCCCUCGUUCUCGAACGUCUCCCGCAGUUUCUCUACAAAGUUAUACAAAAAUAAUCAAAAAUCCUUUUUUUUCCUUCAUUUUUUCUUCGGUACUGACAAUCCUUCAUCAUUUUUUAUACAGGCAAAAAUUCUUAGGUUUCCCUUAGUCAAAAUGUUUUCCUAUUUUGGUGGUUAGUAAAAAUGAAAUGGUGUCAUUUUCCCCCGUAGAUAAAUGAUCAAAUAAUCGAAUAAAUUCUUCUUCCAUUUAUUAAUUAACGAACAUGUUUAUCCCACU